GGAUGCGAUCAUACCAGCACUAAAGCACCGGAUCCCAUCAGAACUCCGAAGUUAAGCGUGCUUGGGCGAGAGUAGUACUAGGAUGGGUGACCUCCUGGGAAGUCCCAUUUUAAUUUUU
rnacentral:rRNA from 1 species